GGGGGGGGGGGGGGGGGGGGGGGGGGGGGGGGGGGGGGGGGGGGGGGGGGGGGGGGGGGGGGGGGGGGGGGGGGGGGAUUCCAUUGGGGAUCUAUAGGGGAUUCUGUGGGGAUUCCAUUGGGGAUCUAUAGGGGAUUCCAUUGGGGAUCUAUAGGGGAUUCUGUGGGAAUUCCAUUGGGGAUCUAUAGGGGAUCUAUGGGAAUUCCAUUGGGAAUCUAUAGGGGAUUCUGUGGGGUUUCCAUUGGGGAUCUAUACGGGAUCUAUGGUGAUCUAUAGGGGAUUCUAUGGGGAUUCCAUUGGUGAUCUAUAGGGGAUUCUAUGGGAAUUCCAUUGGGGAUCUCUGGGCGGAUCCAUGAGGAAUCUCGCGGGGGAUCCAUAGGUGAUUCCAUAGGGAUUUCAUGGAUGAUCCAUAGGGGAUCUAUAGGGGAUCUGUGGGGAUACUGUGGGUGAUCCCUUGGGGAUUCCAUAGGGGAUCUGUAGCUGAUCCAUAGGGGGAUCCAUAGGGGAUCUGCGGGGAUCCAUAGCUGCUCCAUAGGGGAUUCCAUGGGGGGAUCCAUAGGGUUCUGUGGGAUCCUAUGGGGGAUCCAUGGGCGGGAUUCCAUAGGGGAUUCCGUGGGGGAUCCAUAGGGGAUCCGUGGGGGAUUCCAUAGGGGAUCUGUGGGAUUCCGUGGGGGAUCCAUAGGGGAUCCGUGGGGGAUUCCAUAGGGGAUCUGUGGGAUUCCGUGGGGGAUCCAUAGGGGAUCCGUGGGGGAUUCCAUAGGGGAUCUGUGGGAUUCCGUGGGGGAUCCAUAGGGGAUCCGUGGGGGAUUCCAUAGGGGAUCUGUGGGAUUCCGUGGGGGAUCCAUAGGGGAUCCGUGGGGGAUUCCAUAGGGGAUCUGUGGGAUUCCGUGGGGGAUCCAUAGGGGAUCCGUGGGGGAUUCCAUAGGGGAUCUGUGGGAUUCCGUGGGGGAUCCAUAGGGGAUCCGUGGGGGAUUCCAUAGGGGAUCUGUGGGAUUCCGUGGGGGAUCCAUAGGGGAUCCGUGGGGGAUUCCAUAGGGGAUCUGUGGGAUUCCGUGGGGGAUCCAUAGGGGAUCCGUGGGGGAUUCCAUAGGGGAUCUGUGGGAUUCCGUGGGGGAUCCAUAGGGGAUCCGUGGGGGAUUCCAUAGGGGAUCUGUGGGAUUCCGUGGGGGAUCCAUAGGGGAUCCGUGGGGGAUUCCAUAGGGGAUCUGUGGGAUUCCGUGGGGGAUCCAUAGGGGAUCCGUGGGGGAUUCCAUAGGGGAUCUGUGGGAUUCCGUGGGGGAUCCAUAGGGGAUCCGUGGGGGAUUCCAUAGGGGAUCUGUGGGAUUCCGUGGGGGAUCCAUAGGGGAUCCGUGGGGGAUUCCAUAGGGGAUCUGUGGGAUUCCGUGGGGGAUCCAUAGGGGAUCCGUGGGGGAUUCCAUAGGGGAUCUGUGGGAUUCCGUGGGGGAUCCAUAGGGGAUCCGUGGGGGAUUCCAUAGGGGAUCUGUGGGAUUCCGUGGGGGAUCCUAGGGGAGCCUAUAGAGCCCCAGCCCCUACACACCUAUAGGGGAUCUAUAGAUCCUAUAGGGGAGCCCAUAGAGCCCCGGCACACGCCGGCCCCUACACACCUAUAGGGGACCUAUAGAUCCUAUAGGGGAGCCCAUAGAGCCCCGGCCCCUACACACCUAUAGGGGAUGGGAACCUAUAGAUCCUGUAGGGAAUACAUAAACAUCUAUAUGGGAUGAGACACUAAGUUUUCUAUAGGGGAGCCCUAAACAUCUAUAGGGGAUGGGAGCCUAAAUCUCCACAUCCUAUAGGGGAUGGGAACCUAUAGAUCCUAUAGGGAACCCUACACAUCCUAUAGGGGAUGGAAACCUAAAUAUCCUGUAGAAGACCACAAAAUAUCCUAUAGGGAAUCUAUAGAUCCUGUAGGGGAAUCCUGAAUAUCCUAUAGGGAAUCUCUGUAUUCUAUAGGGGAACCCUACUCAUCCUAUAGGAGACACAUUCUAUAGGCGAUGGGAACCCCUGGAGAGCUGAUUUGGGGAUCCCUAAACCCCCUAUGGAAAAUCCCAAACUGCUAUAGGGGAUCCCAAAUCCCCUAUGGAAAAUCCCAAAUUCCCCUAUAGGAAAUCCCAAAUUCCCCUAUAGAAAAUCCCCGAUAGAAAAUCCCAAAUUCCCCUAUAGAAAAACCCAAAUCCCCUAUAGAAAAUCCCAAAUUCCCCUAUAGAAAAUCCCAAAUUUCCCGUGGAUGCAGCUCCUGGAUCAGA
rnacentral:lncRNA from 12 species